AUAUCAAUAAGCGGAGGAAAAGAAACUAACAAGGAUUCCCCUAGUAACUGCGAGUGAAGCGGGAAAAGCUCAAAUUUAAAAUCUGGCGGUCCUUGGCUGUCUGAGUUGUAAUUUAGAGAAGCGUCUUCCGCGCCGGACCGUGCACAAGUCUCCUGGAAUGGAGCGUCGUAGAGGGUGAGAAUCCCGUCUUUGGCACGGACACCCGGUGCUUCUGUGAUGCGCUCUCGAAGAGUCGAGUUGUUUGGGAAUGCAGCUCAAAAUGGGUGGUGAACUCCAUCUAAAGCUAAAUAUUGGCGAGAGACCGAUAGCGAACAAGUACCGUGAGGGAAAGAUGAAAAGCACUUUGGAAAGAGAGUGAAACAGUAC
rnacentral:rRNA from 1 species